CCUUCCGCCUGAUUGAGUUGAUUUUAAUCGGGUGGUUCUUCCCUACUUCCCUCGGUCAAUCCUUCGAAAAAAUAGGUGUUGUUCGGCAGAGAGUGCCUCCCUCAUCCCCCCCUCGAGACGUCAGGUUGUUUCGCCAAGGAGCGGUCCGGGAAGGCUCCCCCCCCACUAUGAAGGGUUCUUCUCAGUGGUACAGCCCCCAUAAUCAAACCUAGUAUGAAGGGUUAUAUGGCUCCUGGACUCGCCGAACACCGCAGCGAAAUGCGAUAAGUAAUGUGAAUUGCAGAAUUCAGUGAUUCAUCGAAUUUUUGAACGCACAUUGCGCCCGCCAGCAUUCUGGCGGGCAUGCCUGUUCGAGCGUCAUUUCAACCCUCAAGCUCUGCUUGGUGUUGGGGCCCUACAGCUGAUGUAGGCCCUCAAAGGUAGUGGCGGACCCUCCCGGAGCCUCCUUUGCGUAGUAACUUUACGUCUCGCACUGGGAUCCGGAGGGACUCUUGCCGUAAAACCCCCAAUUCUCCAAAGGUGACGUCGGAUCAGGUAGGAAUACCCGCUGAAGCUGG
rnacentral:rRNA from 1 species